rnacentral:lncRNA from 1 species
AAAGAACAAAGAGAAAGGACUAGAAACAAACCCUAGAGAGGAAAAUUCAAGAGAAAUUUGUUGAAUUUCAAAGAACAAAACAAUCAAAGGUAAGAUUUUUCAAUUUUAGCUUAAGAUCUACCUUUCCCAUGCUUUCUUUUUCAUUUUCUAUGGAUGAAACACAAGUUUUCAUGAGGGAAUACUUGCUGGCCGAACAUAGGGAGAGAGGUUUUGAUGAUGGAUUUUGCUAGAUUUCAUGAUAUCUUAGUGUUUUUAGUUGUUUGAUGAUGUUUGGCAUGAAAAACAAGCAAGAAAAUCACAUGCCCUUCAACAACCCUCUUUGGCUGAAUUUUAUAGAUGACAUGUUGAUGAUGGAUUUUGUUGUAUUUCAUGUUAUUUAGCUCGUAAUUGAUGAUUU